GACGAACGCUGGCGGCGUGCUUAACACAUGCAAGUCGAACGGAAAGGCCCUGCUUUUGUGGGGUGCUCGAGUGGCGAACGGGUGAGUAACACGUGAGUAACCUGCCCUUGACUUUGGGAUAACUUCAGGAAACUGGGGUUAAUACCGGAUCGGAGCCCCUGCUGCAUGGUGGGGGUUGGAACGUUUCGGCGGUUGGGGAUGGACUCGCGGCUUAUCAGCUUGUUGGUGGGGUAGUGGCUUACCAAGGCUUUGGCGGGUAGCCGGCCUGAGAGGGUGACCGGCCACAUUGGGACUGCGAGACGGCCCAGACUCCUACGGGGGGCAGCGGGGGGGAAUAUUGCACAAUGGGCGGAAGCCUGAGGCAGCAACGCCGCGUGCGUAAUGACGGCCUUCGGGUUGUAAACCGCAUUCGCCUGUGACGAAGCGUGAGUGACGGUAAUGAGUAAAGAAGCACCGGCUAACUACGUG
rnacentral:rRNA from 1 species